rnacentral:rRNA from 1 species
UACAGAGACCUCAAGCGUUAUCCGGAUUUAUUGGGCGUAAAGAGCUGGUAGGUGGUUAUGUUAGUCAGAUGUCAAAUCUCGGGGCUCAACUCCGAAACUGCAUUUGAAACGGCAUAACUAGAGGGUGUGAGAGAUCUAUGGAACUCAUGGUGUAGCAGUGAAAUGCGUUGAUAUCAUGAGGAACACCAAAGGCGAAGGCAUUAGAUUGGCACACUCCUGACACUGAGCAGCGAAAGCGUGGGUAG